rnacentral:rRNA from 1 species
AUACGUAGGGGGCAAGCGUUGUCCGGAAUUAUUGGGCGUAAAGGGCGUGUAGGCGGUAUAGUAAGUCAGAUGUGAAAACUCAGGGCUCAACCCUGAGGCUGCAUAUGAAACUGCAAUACUUGAGUACUGGAGAGGUAAGCGGAAUUCCUAGUGUAGCGGUGAAAUGCGUAGAUAUUAGGAGGAACACCAGUGGCGAAGGCGGCUUACUGGACAGAGACUGACGCUGAGGCGCGAAAGCGUGGGGAGCGAACAGGAUUAGAUACCCUGGUAGUCCACGCCGUAAACGAUGAAUGCUAGGUGUUGGGGAGACUCAGUGCCGGAGUAAACACAAUAAGCAUUCCGCCUGGGGAGUACGGUCGCAAGACUGAA